GGACAGGUGGUAGCUCAAUGGGUAGAGCAUUGGCUUGGCACGCAGAAGGUCCCAGGUUCAAUCCUGGCUUCUCCA